UGGGGAAUAUUGCACAAUGGACGAAAGUCUGAUGCAGCAACGCCGCGUGGAGGAUGACACAUUUCGGUGCGUAAACUCCUUUUAUGUGAGAAGAUAAUGACGGUAUCACAUGAAUAAGCACCGGCUAACUCCGUGCCAGCAGCCGCGGUAAUACGGAGGGUGCAAGCGUUACUCGGAAUCACUGGGCGUAAAGCGCGCGCAGGCGGCUUUGUAAGUUGGAUGUGAAAUCCUAUGGCUCAACCAUAGAACUGCAUCCAAAACUACUUAGCUAGAGUCUGGGAGGGGAAGAUGGAAUAGUGUGUAAGGGGGGUAAAAUCCGGUAGAGAUCACUAGGAAUACCAAAAGCGAAGGCGAUCUUCUGGAACAGUACUGACGCUGAGGCGCGAAAGCGUGGGGAGCAAACA
rnacentral:rRNA from 1 species